AUACAAAGCACCCAGGGAUCUUGUUAAAAUGCAGAUUCUGUUUCAACAGAUUCUGUUUCAGCUCUGGGAUGGAGCCUCAGAUUCUGCAUUUGUAACAAGUUCCCAGAUGGUGCCUGU
rnacentral:pre_miRNA from 1 species